rnacentral:rRNA from 1 species
UCCUCCUACGGGGCGCAGCAGUAGGGAAACUUUCACAAUGGACGAAAGUCUGAUGGAGCAACGCCGCGUGAGUGAAGAAGGGUUUCGGCUCGUAAAGUUCUGUUGGUAGUGAAGAAAGAUAGAGGUAGUAACUGGCCUUUAUUUGACGGUAAUUACUUAGAAAGUCACGGCUAACUACGUGCCAGCAGCCGCGGUAAUACGUAGGUGGCAAGCGUUGUCCGGAUUUAUUGGGCGUAAAGCGAGUGCAGGCGGCUCAAUAAGUCUGAUGUGAAAGCCUUCGGCUCAACCGGAGAAU